UACGUAGGGGGCAAGCGUUGUCCGGAAUUACUGGGCGUAAAGGGUGCGUAGGCGGCCAUUUAAGUCUCGUGUGAAAGGCCCCGGCUUAACCGGGGAGCUGCAUGGGAAACUGGAUGGCUUGAGUACUGGAGAGGGUUGCGGAAUUCCCAGUGUAGCGGUGAAAUGCGUAGAUAUUGGGAAGAACACCAGUGGCGAAGGCGGCAACCUGGACAGUAACUGACGCUGAGGCACGACAGCUGGGGGAGCGAACAGG
rnacentral:misc_RNA from 1 species